UUAGAGGACAUCGUCACGCGUACAUAUCCAGCCCCCGUCGUUGAGGAGAGGGACGACGUUAUUGGGAUGACCUCCCCCAUUGAUACCGCAAUACCAUCCCAUCAGUCACAUGAGGGUCAUCGACAGGAUGGGGC